GCCUCUGUUUCUGUUUGAGGCAUGCAUAGCAUGUCAUACACGCACAGAACGGAAACCAUUUUGCCUUCCAUAUUGAUUUUUCUCGACUCAAUCUUCGAACUAUUUCUGCCAUGCUUUCGCUCACUUUCAGUAUGAGUAUCGAGACCUGUUUAUAUGAUCCCAGAUGGAGGUUUCUGUGUUUUUAAAACUUUUACGUACAACUUCAUACAAUAGAAGAAGAUAGCCAGGAUACAAGGGACAGAAAGUGUCCUUGAACCGAUUUUUAUCAUGCAUCAUUGUGAUGCACCAUUCGAUAACUCACCAAAAGAAAACAUCGUAAAUCAAUUUUCAGCGCUCUAUCUUGACCAGAAGGAUAGUUACAGAGUGAAUUCGAAUUAUCUCUUUUUAUCCUAUUUUCCCAAUUUAAUGGCAUGCAAAAAUUCUGGAUUAUUAUAGACACAUUAGUGUCGAAGUGCAAGAAAAUACUGAAAAAUGUAGAUUUCGCAUAGCAGUUUAAAGCGAUCACUGUUUUAUUAUUAUGGUAACGACAUGUUAGCACGACUAUUAUUCUCAACCUUAAGACUCAACCCAAGCCGACGAUCUUUCGUGAACCAUACAUACUUAGUAGGUAAUCACUGAUUUUUUACCUAAAGAGACACAUUACAUCGGAGCAGGACAAUAAAGUAAUAAAGUAAUAAAGUCUUAAGUUGAACUAAAUAAUGUGAUUUAACUUAUGUUGUAAUUUAAAGAUAAUGAAAUGCAGGGGACACUGGUAAAAUAUUGUUUUUUUAUUGAAAAGGCUAUCAAUACGCUUACUUGUAUCAUUGAAUAUUAAAAUAUUGAAGUAAACAAAGAACGAUACGAAAAUUUUGAAUUACAGAAAAAUUACAUAUACUGUUAUGUGAAAUUAAAAUUAUUUGAUGAACAUGUUAUACUUACCUAAGUGGAAAGAUACGCUUCAAUCACGAAACAACACUUUGAAUAAUGACAGGAAUUUUCCAGGGGAAAGAAUGGAAUAAAAAUUAAGCUAAAAGGUUUACAUUUAGCAAAUCCCUUAAUUUUCCCAAAUAUUUUCACAUGACAAUUAUAAUUGAACAUAAGAUCGAAAACACUAGAUGGAGGGUUGCUACAUAUAACAAUAAGCCAUUUUUACGGAUGAAUCCCUGAUUCUUUAAUAAAGCAAUUACUUUUCAAUUUGAAAAAGAAUGAUAGUUUUUCCCAAUGUAUUGUCUUCAGAAUCCCUACAUAAAAGAGGAGAUCAUAAAUAUGAAAAUAAUAAUUUUCAAAAAAAAUGAAUACCGUCCCUAUCCAUUUACUCAAAAACAGAAGAUCUAAUACUGAUUUUAUACAUUUACAUAAUAUAUAAAAUGUUAAAGAAUAUCCGUAACAGUAAAACAAUACGUGGUUGAAGGAUCGACGGAGUAAAAUGUGUUCAAAAAUUAUUUGCAUGGACAUUUUAUGAUAAAAUAUUCCUAAAAUACUUUUAGAACACUUUUUAACGAACUCCGUUUAUUGUCGUGUAGCAAAUAGAAAGAAAAUCGAUGUAAUAACAAAAAAGUGGAUCGCUGUGACGCGCACGAAUUCACAGCGGUACCACAAAGGAAUAUAUAAGAUACCUUAAUCGCUCCGCUAUCCUCAACGUUGAAUGAGGAACUGAUACUCGUAUGGUACAAGAUAAGGGACAUAUACAUUUUCAAUUGAUUAAAUCAAUUUAAUUUCUUUUAUUUGUAUAUUACUUUUUCGAACGCACAAAUAUUAAAAAUCAUACAAUAUACUCACUGCGUAAAAAGAAUGCAAAAUUUGAAAAUAUUAAUCACAUUUCUACCUGAAAAUCUUCAAGGAAAUUGGUUUUUGAUUUUUUUAACUACGACACACCUUUCCAAAAAAUCUAGGAAGGGUUAAGAAUAAUAGUCAUACUGGCAUGUCGCUAUUAUAAAGAUAAGAAAGUGAUCGUUCUAAAACUUCUAUACGAAAUCUACAUUUUUCAGCAUUUUUAAUUUUUUUCAUUUAAGGUUCGCAUCGAAAAAAUCUAAAAGUUUUCAACAUACAUGAUCGCGUUUAUAAUGAUGUAGAAUUUUUGUAUGUUGUUAAAUAGGGAAAAUAAGAUAAAAACGGAUAAUUCAAAUUCAUUCUGUAACUAUUACCAUUUUGGUCGAAGUAAAGGGUUGAAAAUCGCCUUACGAUGUUUUCUUUUGGUAAGCUUACCUUUUGUAAAUAAAUUAUUGACAUUGAAAACAUUUUAUUCAGUCAGUAAGAAGCAUUCUACAUGAUGAUGAUGAUGAUGAUGAUGAUGAUGAUAAUAUAAUAAUAAUCAGAAUAAUCAUAAUAAUUAUAAUAAUAUUAAUUUAUAAUAAUAAUUCAUUCAUAAUAACCAUUUGUAAUAUACAGGUAAAUCUCUCUCUCUCUUUCGCACGCGCUCACUUUCGCUCUCUCACAUACACUGAAUUGUCUUAUUACAUAAAUUAUAGAAAAUUCAUCAAUAAAUGAAACAUUACAUUCUUCAGACUAUGAAUUAGUCAAUAAAUCAUUUUAUACUCGUUUUUGCUGCAAAGAUAUUUUGUUUCUCCUUUUUUUAGUUUGUUAUUCGGCAGCGUUGUUGGAUUUGAAGGACUACUUUAAACUCCCUGCCCGCAGUAACGUUUACAUAUUUUGUGCUUCCUUUGUACAUUGCUAAAAAAUUCAUACCUGCUAUGCAGGUCAAAGAUAACAAACUCUAAAUACUUCUCUUCAUAAGGCAUAAUAUGUUCCAUUAUAUUUCACAACAAAAUUAUUGUAUCAGUAAAUGUGUAAAUGAACAAUAACACAACAAUGUAAACGCAACUGACGCAGUUCUAUUAUUGUAAAUCCAUAUUUCUAUUGAUUUGAGGUAGUGUAUUCAAUGUAACCCUAUUACUUUGCUGCUAUAUGUUGUGUGUGGAUAUGUGUCUCAUAUGAAUAUUUUUCACACCCAUACACUUUUACUAUAAGUCCAAAAUAUGUAAAACAUAUUAGGAAAAUUUAUCUUUAACAAACAGAUGUAAUCAUAAAUCUUUCAACUGAAAUUUCUUCUCUACUUAUUGCAAACAGUAUGAUAUUUUUCAAUGAGCAUUUAUAAACAGUUCAGAAUGUAGAAAUGAAGAAUAUACACUAUGUAUAUAUGUAUAUAUAUAAAUAUACACACACACACACGCACACACACGAGUAUAGUAUUUAGUAUUUUGGACUUACAGUUAUUUCAGUUGUAAGUGUGCUUCAAAAAUUAUCAUCUAUGUAUAAAGUAUGAGAAAACUAAAUGUCGGGCAAAUUUUGAAACCGAUUGUAAUUUUUCAUUAAUUAUUUUGUGCAUGCCAUACAUUAAACAGGCAUGAGAUUUUGUAAGUAUACCUUGACAUCAUUAAUCAAAAUCUUCCCGCUAUUCAGUAUUCCAACUUCAUUACCAAAUACGACAAGGCUGCUGACAUUAGGCUUGCUAGCACUUGUAAAUAAUGCCCAGCAAUUGUGCUAUUCUGUUAGUUUCUUUAACUAUUAUUUGAUGAAUAAUUUAUCACAUUUUAAUCGUCUUCACAGAUUGAAAAAGAGAGGGCAUAUGUAACAUCAUGCAUUACCAAGUUGGCUCAAUCUAUGAACACUUUUGUAAAAAAUAUAACAUCUAUGGAUGGUUGAGCCCUUGGUUAGCAUAUAGCGAAUUAGUACUUUUGAAGGUAAUGCGGAUCACUUCUGCAGGAACGACUACUGGAUACAAAUAUCCAUGUUAUGAUCUGCAUUAAAUGUAUUUACCAUCAUUCUCCCUUUAUCUUAAAAGGAAACAUUUGGGUUUAAAAAGAUACCCAAAGUUAUAUCUAAUAUUUAAAAAAUGGAACCUAUUUAAGCACAAGAUAUGGAUGCUCUUUACAAUUUGAUUGUACAAACUCUUUAUUCUAUUGCAGAAGUGAUUUUCGCUCUAGUCUUCGUAUAUUAGUUUUUCUUUCAA